rnacentral:rRNA from 1 species
UUAAUUGAAGAGUUUGAUCAUGGCUCAGAUUGAACGCUGGCGGCAGGCCUAACACAUGCAAGUCGAGCGGUAGCACAAGAGAGCUUGCUCUCUGGGUGACGAGCGGCGGACGGGUGAGUAAUGUCUGGGAAAAUGCCUGAGGGUGGGGGAUAACUGGUGGAAACGGUAGAUAAUACCGCAUGACGUCUUCGGACCAAAGUGGGGGACCUUCGGGCCUCACGCCAUCAGAUGUGCCCAGAUGGGAUUAGCUAGUAGGGGGGGUAAUGGCUCACCUAGGCGACGAUUUCUAGCUGGUCUGAGAGGCUGUACAGCCACACUGGAA